rnacentral:rRNA from 1 species
UACAGAGGUCUCAAGCGUUGUUCGGAUUCAUUGGGCGUAAAGAGCGUGUAGGCGGCCAGAUAAGUCCGCUGUGAAAUCUCGAGGCUCAACUUCGAGCUGUCGGUGGAAACUAUCUGGCUAGAGUCCGGAAGAGGAGAGUGGAAUUCCUGGUGUAGCGGUGAAAUGCGCAGAUAUCAGGAAGAACACCCGUGGCGAAGGCGGCUCUCUGGGACGGUACUGACGCUGAGACGCGAAAGCGUGGGGAGCGAACAGG